GCCUCGGUGGUGCAGUGGUCAAGGCGCUUGUCUGGUAAACAGUAAACAGGAGGGCCUGGGUUCAAUCCCAGCCGAGGUA
rfam:Asian citrus Psyllid, Diaphorina citri - Florida Strain, whole genome shotgun sequence.